UACAGAGGUCUCAAGCGUUGUUCGGAUUCAUUGGGCGUAAAGGGUGCGUAGGCGGCGCGGUAAGUCGGGUGUGAAAUCUCGGAGCUUAACUCCGAAACUGCAUUCGAUACUGCCGUGCUAGAGUACUGGAGAGGAGACUGGAAUUCAUGGUGUAGCAGUGAAAUGCGUAGAGAUCAUGAGGAAGACCAGUGGCGAAGGCGGGUCUCUGGACAGUUCCUGACACUGAGACACGAAGGCCAGGGGAGCAAACGGG
rnacentral:rRNA from 1 species